CUUAGAGCCAGGGGUUAGGGGGUGGGGGGAGCGAGUGCUGUUUUUGAGAUCAUUAUCUGAACUCAGGCAGCCUAGUAGAGGCAGUGGUGGGAUUCCAAUGGGUCUUGGUGGGUGGGAGGUGGGGCAUGUGCAAAGCAAGCAAGGAACAUUUGGGGUAAGAAAACAAACAUGAGGCAAAAGAAAAAAAUACAUGUUUUUAAGAAAACGUUGAGCAGAGAACUGCGGCCAGGAUGCGCUCAGCAGACAUUCACUCCGGCUGCUGGUGCGUCGGAAAGCAAGGUCUUCAUCUCUCUCUCCAGUUUCACCCACCCCACCCUUUGCUUUCAUUUCAGGUGUGUUGGUCUAUGACAGGGAGGAGAGGAAAGGAGAGCAGGAGCAAUUGGCUGCCUGCAAAGCCAGCUGGAGGUGAUGUGCAGGAAAGGCAAGGUCACCCCAUUCUUCUCCGUGGCCUGUCUGCUCCCAGCUGUGGUAGGCUCACAUAGCCAAGGUGAUCGGUUUUUAAGAGGCAGUGCUUUUCAGCUUUUCUCCCUGAUAUAUCCAUUUUGCUUCCCAGCACUUUUUAGGAGUAGUGAGAGCACUUCCUGCCCUUGUUGGAAGCCCCAGGGUGGACACUUGGCAUGAAGGUCUCUCCCUCAACUGCUGCCCUCCCAAGACUUGCUCCCAAGGUGGAGUGGGUGUGCUCUCCCAGGCCGGCCCUUCCUCCUCCUCACCGCCACCUUCCCUGCCCCAGCCACAGCAGCCGUGGGCACAUGGGUCCCCAGCUCAGCUGCGGAUUCCCGCCAGUCUGCCCAGCUGCAGUACUCACACUCAUGGGGGCUCUUGGUCUGUUUUUCUUGUGGUUGCCAAGUGGAGAGCAGACGUGGCUUUUUCUGUGUCUCGUUGGGGAGGUGACUUGCAUGGUGGGGACAAGGCUCUCGUGGCAGCCUUGGGGUCGAGUUUGAGACUAAAGGAUGCCAUGAGGUCCCUGGCUUCUCCCCAUGUUGUUCCUGGACAAGGACAGAAGGGAGGCAUGGCAAGGGACCUGCACUGUCCUUACUCAACAGUGGUCCUCAUCCCUCCCCACCUCCCACUGCUUCCUGCAAGGGCACCAGUUGUAUGAGAAAGUUGGCCUUUGGACUUAGCAUUUCUUGUCGUAGCUAAGAGCCAUCUGAAGCAGCAGGUUGCAGGACAAACGCUUCAGUCCACCCGAGAGCAGUACCGUGUGGCCAAGAGGUGGACUCAGAGCCUUCCUUGAGCUAAACUCGGCCAACCAAGGCAUGCAGCUUGUCCCCUCAGGUCUCCAGUCAGUCCAGGUUGACCCUCAGUUCUGGACAUGUGUAUAUAGCUGUAUUUAAUACCUCAAGGUCAUUGUGGCUCUGGGGAUGCCGGGGCAGGAGGACGAGGGUGUGCUGUGGACACAGCAGUCUGCGGGAUUCUGUUCUGGGAAGCCGAUGGUCCCGGCACCCCCUGCUUCCUCCCUCUGUUGUCUGCCUGUGUGACACACAUCAAUGGCAAUAACUUCUUCCAACUCCUCGCAGAAGUGGGAGAGGCCUACAGCCUGCACCGGGAGGGGCUUUCCUCUCUCUUGCUCCCCGCUUCAUUCUGUUUUGGCUGCAGAGAGUGGUUCAUCCGUACUCUCAUUCCCUCGCCUCCCCUAGUGGACGGAGGCGGGAGUCUUGCCUUUUCAAUUCCUGUGUUUUGGUGUCUUCCCUUAUCUGCUCCCCUGAAUCACCUGUCCCGGUCUUGCUGUGUGAUGGGAACGUGCUUGUAAACUGCGUAACAAAUCUACUUUGUGUAUGUGUCUGUUUAUGGGGGUGGUUUAUUCUUUUUGCUGGUCCCUAGACCACUUUGUAUGACCGUUUGCAGUCUGAGCAGGCCAGGGGCUGACAGCUAAUGUCAGGACCCUCAGUGGUGGAGCCUGCUGGGGGGACCCAGCUGCUCUUGGAACAAGUGGCUGAGCUCCUAUCUGGCCCUCCUUUUUUUUUUUUUUCCCCCAAGUAAUUUGUGGUGUAUUUCUAACUGAUUGUAUUUGAAAAAAUUCUUAGGUAUUUCAGUAAAAAUGCCUGUUGUGAGACGAAACCUCCUGUAACUUCUAUCUGUUCUUUUUUGAGGCUCAGGGAGAAACUAGCAUUUUUUUUUUUCCAAACUACUUUUUGUCACUGUGACAGUUGUAAAUAAAGUUUGAAAAUGCU